AAAAGUCUGCGUGAACUGCCUUCUCGUUGGCUGCCAAGUCCAUCAGGAGCCCGGUGCUACCUCCGGCCUGGAAGGGAAAGGGGACACGGCGUCAGGGCUGCUUUCCGGGAGAGCAGGAAGGGGGGGGGGGGACAGCGCCCUACAGGACCCGGGGCCGCCCUGCAGCAGAGGCAGGCGGGCGAGGGGUGGAGAGGUGCCCCGGUCGGAGCCAGAGUUUCGUUUCAGGCCGAGGAAGUGGGCGAGAGGGGCGGCAUCCCAGGGAAUUACCUUGAAGGUCCCCUCGGGUCCUCGGGUCUUGGGCGCCGUGUGCAUCGCAUCCCCGGGCUCCCCCUGCGUCUCACACAGCAUCCUGCAGCCGCCCUGACCUGCCACCUCCCCGCAAACCCUGGGCGGGGUUCUAGCCCCCUACGGGGCGCCGCAGAGGCCCCGAGUCUGUGCGAACCCUGCGCCGCCGCCUGGGCCCUGGAUCGGCCCCCGCUGCUGCGGAGCCUCCACCCACUUCCCUGGGGCCUCCCCGCGGGCCUGGGGUCCCGGCGCCUCGCGGGCCAGCGCGGCCGGGCAGGCGGAGGCCACACGGCGACGGGGGAGGGUCCCCGGGCCGCCCGCUCCCGCCUUUCCCGGCUCCGGAGUCGCCGGGCGGCUGCCCCUGGGCCUUUCCGCGGUCGUUCUCAGGAACCCAAACCCGAGACGUUUAAGAAAAAAAAAAAAAAAAAAAAAUCCCGGGAUCCUCCGCCGCCUCUGCCCGCGGCCUCCCGCCCUGCCCCGGGCCACGCAGGCCACCCGCUCCCGGGCCGCGGCCCCUCUCGCCCCAGCCCCCAGCCCGCCCCCCGGGCCGCCUCCCAGCGCCGCCCCCGUGUCCCCGGGCGCCCGCCUGGCCGCCGCCUCCCGCCUCACCUCGUCCAGGUCCACGUAGGGCCCGGCGCCCUCGGGGAACAUCUCGUCCACCGCCGCCGGCUUCAUCUCGCCGCCCGCGCCCCCGGCCCACUUCCGGCCCGCCCGACGCCUCUUCCGGUGCGCGCCGGCCGCGGCGGGUCUAGGCGCCGGAGGACCGCCGACUCUGUGGUUCCCUGGGCGCCCCGGGAGGGACCUGCGCGGGGAGGCGGGGAGGCGGGGUGGCCCCGGGCGCCGACGGCUCGGCCCCGACGGCCCAGCGCGCAGACCGGGCGAAGCCGCGCGCGAACGCGGGGGUCGGAGGGCCGGGGCGGGGCGGGGCCGGGCUAUCCUGCGGUCCUGGGGGCGGCGGG
rnacentral:lncRNA from 1 species